GACGAACGCUGGCGGCGUGCUUAACACAUGCAAGUCGAACGGAAAGGCCCUGCUCUUGUGGGGUGCUCGAGUGGCGAACGGGUGAGUAACACGUGAGUAACCUGCCCUUGACUUUGGGAUAACUUCUGGAAACUGGGGCUAAUAUCGGAUAGGAGCUCCUGCUGCAUGGUGGGGGUUGGAAAGUUUCGGCGGUUGGGGAUGGACUCGCGGCUUAUCAGCUUGUUGGUGGGGUAGUGGCUUACCAAGGCUUUGACGGGUAGCCGGCCUGAGAGGGUGACCGGCCACAUUGGGACUGAGAGACGGCCCAGACUCCUACGGGAGGCAGCAGUGGGGAAUAUUGCGGAGUGGGCGGAAGCCUGAUGCAGCAACGCCGCGUGCGGGAUGACGGCCUUCGGGUUGUAAACCGCUUUCGCCUGUGACGAAGCGUGAGUGACGGUAAUGGGUAAAGAAGCACCGGCUAACUACGUG
rnacentral:rRNA from 1 species